CGGAGGUCAUUGCUAUUGGAGUCCGAUUUAGCCAUGCUAGUCGUACGAGUUGAGACCCGUAGCAGAUAGCUCAGUAACACGUGGCCAAACUACCCUAUAGAUCCAGACAACCUCGGGAAACUGAGGCUAAUCCGGAAUAGGGCUCUCAUCCUGGAGUGGAGAGAGCCUGAAACGCUCCGGCGCUAUAGGAUGUGGCUGCGGCCGAUUAGGUAGACGGUGGGGUAACGGCCCACCGUGCCAGUAAUCGGUACGGGUUGUGAGAGCAAGAGCCCGGAGACGGUAUCUGAGACAAGAUACCGGGCCCUACGGGGCGCAGCAGGCGCGAAACCUUUACACUGCACGCCAGUGCGAUAAGGGGACUCCAAGUGCGAGGGCAUAUAGUCCUCGCUUUUUGCGACCGUAAGGUGGUCGCGGAAUAAGUGCUGGGCAAGACCGGUGCCAGCCGCCGCGGUAAUACCGGCAGCACGAGUGAUGACCGCUGUUAUUGGGCCUAAAGCGUCCGUAGCUGGCCGCACAAGUCUAUCGGGAAAUCUCUCCGCUUAACGGAGAGGCGUCCGGUGGAAACUGUGUGGCUUGGGACCGGAAGACCAGAGGGGUACGUCUGGGGUAGGAGUGAAAUCCCGUAAUCCUGGACGGACCACCGGUGGCGAAAGCGCCUCUGGAAGACGGAUCCGACGGUGAGGGACGAAAGCUCGGGUCACGAACCGGAUUAGAUACCCGGGUAGUCCGAGCUGUAAACGAUGUCUGCUAGGUGUGACACAGGCUACGAGCCUGUGUUGUGCCGUAGGGAAGCCGUGAAGCAGACCGCCUGGGAAGUACGUCCGCAAGGAUGAAACUUAAAGGAAUUGGCGGGGGAGCACUACAACCGGAGGAGCCUGCGGUUUAAUUGGACUCAACGCCGGACAUCUCACCAGCAUCGACAAUGUGCAGUGACGGUCAGUAUGAUGAGCUUACCUGAGCCAUUGAGAGGAGGUGCAUGGCCGCCGUCAGCUCGUACCGUGAGGCGUCCUGUUAAGUCAGGCAACGAGCGAGACCCGCACCCUUAAUUGCCAGCAGCACCCUUGUGGUGGCUGGGUACAUUAAGAGGACUGCCAGUGCCAAACUGGAGGAAGGAACGGGCAACGGUAGGUCAGUAUGCCCCGAAUGUGCUGGGCGACACGCGGGCUACAAUGGCCAAGACAGUGGGAUGCAACGCCGAAAGGCGACGCUAAUCUCCGAAACUUGGUCGUAGUUCGGAUUGAGGGCUGAAACUCGCCCUCAUGAAGCUGGAUUCGGUAGUAAUCGCGCCUCAGAAGGGCGCGGUGAAUACGUCCCUGCUCCUUGCACACACCGCCCGUCAAAGCACCCGAGUGGGGUCCGGAUGAGGCCCGGUUUCCGGGUCGAAUCUGGGCUCCGCAAGGGGGCUU
rnacentral:rRNA from 1 species